UGGCCACCGCACAUGCUCAAAUGGCCUCUGCAAGACCCAAGUUUAGAUUUUUCCUUGAUCGAGGGAGUCAGAAGAAUGCAAAGUUGUUGGCAAGGGACCCGAGCAUUUAAAAAACAGAUAUAAAUGGCACAAAAGCUACAGAGUCAGUGGAAAUUCUGAACCAGUGCUUGGAGAGCGUUUUGGUAUGGAUGAGUGCAAAGAAACAAGCUAAAUCCAGACAAGACAGAUGUACUGUGAGCAGGAAAUACCAAUACUAUGGGUGGAGGAGUUCAGCCUGUUUUGGAUGGAGUGGCACUUUUCCUGAAAGCGCAAGUGUGCAGCUUGAUGAUUCUCUUCAACACAACACUGUUCCUUGAUGUCCAGAUGAUUACUUUGGCAAAGAAUGUGUUUUACUAGCUUUAGCUAGUGCACCAGGUACUUCCCCACCUGGUUCAUACUAACCACAUUAUGCAUGCAUUGAUUACUGCAUACUGACUUAUUAGACUACUGUCAUGUGCUUUAUGGCGGCUGCCUUUGAAAAUAAGUUGGAAUAGUGGCAGUUGGUUCAGAAUGCCACCACUAUUAUUGGUGGCAAAAUGACAGGGUCACAGCACUCCCAUCUAGUGCCAAGUCUAUUGACUGCUAAUUUUCUUACAGGCCCAAUUCAAAUUGUUGGCUUUAACCUUUAAGGCCCUUUACAAACUGGGUCCAAGUCACCUUAAGGAAGGCCUACUGGCCAAACAUGGGAUUUUUCACCAAGGCCCUGCUCUCUGGCCUGUGUUAAGGCUCUCCCAGACCCUCCCAACCUGAAGUUAAAGCAAAAGAGAGUUAGUAAAAAAGAGUUAGAGCAUGAGAUGGGAUGGGAACAACCCAAGAUCCAGACAUCAGGUGACCCCAUGCUGUUGGGAACACCAUACCAGCAGAACCAGGGGAAAACAGGCCAGCACCCACAAUGACUGAAGGAUACAGCCCUGCCUUCAUCCUUCAACUGUGGGAGUCCCCUGAAGACCUGCCAAUAUUAUCAAAGGCAGCCCAGCAUUGCCAGAGUGAGGGCAUGAGAAAUUAGGCAAGGUCCCUUUAAACAACAGUCUUUCCUAGAGAAGGCCCAGGGUCAAUUCACCUUACCUACACAACAGUUUUAAGAACUGGCAGUUUGCUGCAAUAAGUUGCUGGAGCAAUGUUCUUAUCUCUCUUGCAGUACCUAGCUUUGUACUGGCCAAGGGCCUGACUCUGCUUUUGGAGUUGUCCAAGAUCUGGUGUACUCCUGAGCCCUGCCUUGGCAGAAAUCCCAGGACAGUCCACCUUUGGCUAAGAUGUUUGGUGGGUAUGAGGGAUGGGACCUUUAGGGCAGUGGCCCCAUGGUUAUGGAACACCCUUCAAAGAGUAAUCUGAAUUACUCCCUCACUCACUAGCUGGCACACUCUGCAGGGUAAUGUGGAUGGUUCAGUACUGCCCAUUCUCUGGAAUGUGUCUAAAACACUGCCCACGGUGCUGCAGAACAGCCCUGUUCUGCUGUGAUUUCAGAUUGAACAUUCACAAUUACACAAUAAAGGAGAAGAUUCACAUCUAAAAUGAAAACAAUGGCAAAGUUUUAAAAUAUAUAUAUAUUCCCUUUUGGGGGGUGGGACAAAUUUGUUAGCAGGAAAAAUUGUUUUUAACCAUUAAAUUAUGUCUCUGUUAUAUUAUAAAUUAUGACUCUGUUACCCAGAGUCUUGGGUCUCUGUGGAAUUACUGAAAAUCCAGUCUCCUCUUGUCAAUUUCAUAAGGAACAACAAGAUAAAAGGGAUGCAAGAGGGGACAGGAGGCUUCUGAGGCCACUGAUAACUGUAUCAUGCUAGGCUGUUACCAAAAUAAAGCUGCAGUCAUCUUCACAGUAUGGAGGAAAGGGAAGGAAGAGACAGAGAAAGAAUGACUAGAAUGCCAGUAGAAAAGGAGGAGCAAUGGCAUUCAUGAAUAUUCAUAGCCAGUCACAUCUGUAGCAGACUUGGUUUCCACCUUUGUGUGUGUGUGUGUGUGUGUGUGUGUGCGCGCGCGUGUGUGUGUGCACGCAUGCGCCGUUCAUCAUGAACUACAAGUAAUAACAAAAGAAAGUGAUUGUGCAGUUCUAUCAGGUUCCAAGUUUAAUCUUUGCAAAUAAUAGUGGUGGACCUUUUUUUCAAUUACCCCAAGCUCCUGCUAUUUUUUAAAAUGCCAAGAUGUCCUUAGUUUAAAAAAAACACACACAUUAUUCUUUUAUUUAUGUGUUAUUCUUUAAAUAUGUUUUAUUUAUUUGUUAUUCUUUAAAUAAUUAUGUGUUAUUCUUUAUGUGUUAUUCUUUAAAAAAAAAAAAUCUUGAAUUGAGUGAACACACGCCAACAUAACUUAAUAUGCAACAUUCCAAAAGUGCAUUCUCCUCCCAAUUGCAUUCAAGUUGCUAAUUCUUCAAGUAUUAUUUGAUCUGGGGGAGGGGAGAGAUUUUCAUGUAAUAAGGAGUGAAAUAAUAUCACAUCAUAAGGCAUAGAAACCAAAUUCAACAUGCUACUAAAGGACUUAGAGGCAAGAAAGAAUGACUGAUAAAUCUAGCAGCCUCAUGUUCAAUUUUAAAACCACACAGCAGAGAUUUAUAGCUUUGCUGCUCCCAUGGCAAAUGAAACCACAGAAAGGGCAUCUGGUUUUCAUUUUGCAGUGUUUUGCCCCCUUCUUGUGCUUUGUCUAUUUGAAGAUCUUUAAAAAAACACAUAUGACUUUACAGUUUAAAAAUAAUAAUCCUGGUCUUGUUGAUAAGCUUCCAACAUGCAAGAACAUAUUCUCAAUAAUGAAGAACCUGCAUCACAACAUGGUGGACUGUUUAUUAAUAGAAAUGGUAGCCCCUGCUCAAUAAUAACUUUUAGGAGCUUUAAAGAGGCUGUGGCAUGUGUGCUAAUGUUCACAAAUUACCAAAGUUGCAUCUGAGUUGUCUAUGUCCAAAUGAUGCAAGUGUUUUCAACUGGAAUAUAAAAGUAGUUAUGGUUGGUUUGUUUUUUAAUAUACUUCCAAAUAAAAAUGAAAAUUUCAUUUUGCUUUUUAAAAAAUUCAGAAGACAACUGCAGAGAUAGGGUAUAGAAACUUUGAAUGAUUUUGUUGAUGCAGUUCUCAACAAGUUAACAAAUGUUUUCCCAGUAUUUGCAAUAUCGAAGCAAGCUUCAGAAGUAGCAAAUUUUUGCAAGCAAAGAUGCUUAAAAGGAUUCAUUUUCAGUUUAAAAUUCAUAGUGUUGCCAGAAUCAUUCUGGAUAAUGUUGGAGCUAAAAAAGUACAGUUAUCAAACAGGAAUCUUGGUCAUCAGCCCUCACCAUUGUUUUGUAACCCUACCUUCAAAUUAGUUGUUCAGCAAAUAAUUUCUCACGGUGGCCAAGUUUUGAAUGAUUAAGGGUAGAGGGGCAACAUUGCCUCUAUCCACUGACUCACUACCAUGGAAGCCAAGACAUUAACAAAGGGCUCUUUAACCUCUUCCUCCCAAAUAUAAGCAGCAACUAAAUCUUUGGCAGAGUUUCUCUCUCUAAUAUGGAUCUCAGUUCCUCACUCCCAUUUGCUGACACAUGAGAGAGUGCAUUAAGUGAAGAGUGCAUUAACAUGAAGUUAAGGCUUAGGUUCCCAAGUGCUUUGUACAGGGGAAGAAGGGAUGAAAGAGCCCUUUGCCUGUGCCUUGACUUGGAGAAGUUAUUACAGUGCAUAGUGUGAGUGUGAGUAAGGGGGGUCGGGAUAAGAAGUCAUAUGGGUGCUGAUACACAUUCCACCUUUUUAGUCCACUUCAUGCAUCUGCUGAAUGAGUUGCCCAUGAACUCUUCUGCCACAAUAAACAAGGUAGACUUUGUGGAACCACAACACAUUUUGAUACUUUUCAAGGCCUCACAUGGCCAGUCUACUGGAGUUCAAGUAUUCACAAUUUUGAGUAAAAAGUAUGUUCCACUGUUAUGUUAGGCAAGAAGUGCAUCUAUUCCCUAUUACUGAGGCAAAGUCUUGCUUAUCCACUUUUCUCAGAGGAUUCACCGAUAUCACCAAAACAUCAAAAACAGAAGGUAGGAAUGAGCAAUAUACCUUAGGCUGUAGCUGCCCAUAUGAUGUGUAUAAGCUGUUUGCUUGUUUGACAUUAGAAAAUAUUUGGACCUUUCUUUGCAAUAUGUACCAUGUAAUAAUGGCUGCCGUGGGAUAGGAUGCAGAAGAGAUUCAUUUUUCAUUUAAAUAUACAUUUUAGUCAAUCUAGGGUUUACACUGAUAUUACAGAUUGAUUUAAGCAAAAUCAUGCGUCAAGUCUCACAUAUGAGGGUGCCUCAAGAUGGCUUAACCAAGACAACUAUGGUAUGUGGUACAAAAGUAGUAAAAUGCACUCCCACGAUCAAAAGACAGACUGACCAGGAAGAAAGUUACUCCGCAUCCUGAAAUAGUAAGACUCCAAUAGCAAAGGAAAACACAUCUACUAAAAACAUGUCCACAUCAGGCUUUUGGAAGGGAGACAUUUGAGUGAAGUAAUUCAUAUAUCUAUAUCAAGAACAACCCAUCCAGCUUCUCUCAUCUGCCUCCAGGCAGAAAUGGAGAACUAAACAUACUUAUGUUGCACAGAGUACUUACUAGGAAGGCCAAUAAGAGUUCUUAGAAUACACUGGAAAAUAUAUCAACAAUGGAAAAUCCUAGACCACAUUGUGCUGAGAGCCAAUGUAGGGCAGUGGCUAGUAGGGCAAGUUGUGAAUUUCAUGUUCAAGUCUUACUUCAGGCAUGAAUUCAUCAAGUAGCUUAAGUAAGCUACUGCAUCUUAGCCUGAGUGCUCCAUCUAUAAUAUGGGAGCAAUAAUACUGACCUACCUUACCAAGUUAUCAUGAGGACUGACAAAUAAUUUACACCAAGCAUAUUAAGUGCUAUAUACGUUUUAAGUAUUAUUAUUUGUUGUUACAGCACCACAGCCAAAAACAUGGGAAGUUCUUUGGUAGACAUGCCUCUUAUGCUCCCAAUGGGUGGGGGUUAAAUCAAUUGAAUUUAUACUUCCCAGUAAAUGUGCUUAGGAUGGGAAUGUCAGUCAUUAUAUGCACCCUUUCUUGUGACUCAUAUCCAACUGUGACCUCCAAUAAACAAACAAAUAAAUGGCAAAAUGAGGAUUUUCAGAUUAA